GACGAACGCUGGCGGCGUGCUUAACACAUGCAAGUCGUACGGUAAGGCCCUUUCGGGGGUCCACGAGUGGCGAACGGGUGAGUAACACGUGAGUAACCUGCCCACAACUUUGGGAUAACGCUAGGAAACUGGUGCUAAUACUGGAUAUGUGCUCCUGCUGCAUGGUGGGGGUUGGAAAGCUCCGGCGGUUGUGGAUGGACUCGCGGCCUAUCAGCUUGUUGGUGGGGUAGUGGCCUACCAAGGCGGCGACGGGUAGCCGGCCUGAGAGGGUGACCGGCCACAUUGGGACUGAGAUACGGCCCAGACUCCUACGGGAGGCAGCAGUGGGGAAGAUUGCACAAUGGGCGCAAGCCUGAUGCAGCAACGCCGCGGGCGGGAUGACGGCCUUCGGGUUGUAAACCGCUUUCAGCAGGGACGAAGCUUUUUGUGACGGUACCUGCAGAAGAAGCACCGGCUAACUACGUG
rnacentral:rRNA from 1 species